GCUGUUUCUAUUAUGAAAGCAGUUUAAAAAAGGUCAUUUAUUUAGGUGAAAUACACAGUUGUUUGUUCUAUGAAGAUGCUUGUCCAAUUUAUUCUCGAUGCCAUUUAUCUUCAGAGUUCCCUGAAGUGACUGUAGUUCCUAUUGAGGAAAAUAUUCUCUGAGUCUCUGAUUUGAUUUUCUUUUUAGACCCACCAUUUUGUGGAUGAAAUUUGGGCUGUUCAGCUAGUUAACCAUCUGUUAUCCUCUCAAAUUAGUUUCUUAAAAUGUCUAGGUACAGUCCCAGAAAUGGGAAUGAUCAUUUAAAAUUCUGCUCCACAAAAUCUUACUUCUUGGCAACCAUUUGAUGUUAUUAUCGAAGGAAGUUGGGAUAGAAGUCCAAGCAAUCUUUUCAGUUUAUUGGAAUAUCAUUUACUGUGCUACACAGAUGUCCACAUACUGCCCAUCUGUCAAGGCUUAUAUUUACAUAACCAGAGAAACUUCAGUGUAGGUUCCUUUCUUACUCUCUAUCAGUCAUUCUGUGUUGGUGCCAUUGGUGUCUGUUUCUUUUUAUCAUCUGGCUGAUCAUCAGAAAUAACAAAAAUUCAAUCUGAAUAUUUUCUGCAGGGGAUACUCAGGCUUCUUUUUUAUUCUCCUUAACAUUUUGGUAGUCUUGCAUUUCUCCCUUGCUGUCUCAAAACAGCGCCUCUUUUCUUUAUUUACCAUUUCGGCCACAGAGCAGACAUUCAACAGAAGAGGGAAGCCAGAUGAUGUAUUUCAGGAGAAGGGCAAAUGUCAGCUACUGAUUCCCUUUCUCAUGCAAUUGGAAUCAUCUGCAUGAUCUUGUCUGAACGCCAUCAUACUUUUGGAUUAGAGAACUCUGUUAUUUUUUUUUUUCUUUCUCCUGACUUGAAAGAUAUACUUACUAUACUUGGAAGUUUUCCAUAGGUUUAACUUAGAAACCAAUUUUAUCAAGUUCUCAAACAUUAAGACCUCCAUAGCUCCUUUCCCCAUCAUUAGUUGCAUGCCAGGACUUGUAACCCAGGACCAGAUUUGGCCAACAGCUUUUUAGUCUUUCAGAAUUAUUUCGAUUACUCACUCCAAAGCAAAGUUUGAGCCCUUCUGGGAUUAUCCUGAAGCAGGGCUCAGAUUAGACAGCCUUCAGCUCUCGGGAUGCCAUUUGAGAAUGAUGAUUUAUACCAAGGAUAAAAUCGAAGGACAUCCAAACUGAACUUGCUGGUAUUUCUGUCACUAAAAUAUACUUCAGAAAAACAUAAUUUGACCAUAUAUGAUCUUUGAGGUACCUUCCAACCCCAGCAAUUCUAUGUUUCUAUGUGCCUGAUCUAGUAAGUGGCAACCCUGCCCACAACAAGAGAGCUGGAAAUAGCUGAUCUUUAAGGUCCCUUCCAACCCAGCCUGUUCUAUGGUUAUGUUAUUCUGUGAUUUAAGUGUUAGGAGCAGGAUGCACACAGGCUGACAGGGCUGGGUGAUGAGGCUGGGCUGAGGCCUGGCCAAUGGGUAGGAUCUACCCUCGGCCUGCAGGUUCAUAGCCAGGCAUGGCACAGCUGUGACUUAGAUCCUGGGGAGGAGCUUGGGGCCAGUGAAGGAGUACUGGCUGAGAAAACCCACUGUCAAUUUCAUGUCUUGUUUCAUUUAAUGAAUUUAUACAAAAUUAAGAACAGGCAUUAGGAUAUUAUUGAUGUAAGGGCCUAGCUGAAAGGUCAACGUGACUUCGAUUUAGCUGAUGCUCUCGAUCACCCAGAUGAUAUAAUUACCAGGAAGCCCACAGUGAUCAGAAGACCAACAAGACCUCUGAUGAGUGAGUAAUACAGACAACAGCCAUGACUAAUAUCCAUUAUGCAUAAACUGUUUUGUGUGAGAUUCUUGCUUGUAGUUGUUAAUGUGCCAUUCUUAAGACAAUUUGUGUGAAUUUGUGUUCUCUGUAUGUAAAGUAAGUAUUUUUUGGACAACUAUCAGUUGCAUGUCUUUACUAUUUUCAGUAAGUCUUUAGAGCAUGGCUGGCCACAGGUGGCAUUUUAUUUCCAGAUGGUCCUCUUAAUACUUUUGUAACCUGUACUGACAUCCCUGGGGUCUACAAAAAUGGGUAAAUGUAGCUAA